rnacentral:rRNA from 1 species
AAUCAACGCUGGCGGCGUGCCUCAGACAUGCAAGUCGAACGCUGCUGUUCGCCUUCGGGUGGACAGCGGAGUGGCGCACGGGUGAGUAACACGUAGGUAAUCUACCUUUGGGUGGGGAAUAACAGCCGGAAACGGCUGCUAAUACCGCAUAAUGCAGCGGCAUCACAUGAUGACAGUUGUUAAAGCGGGGGAUCGUAAGACCUCGCGCCUGAAGAGGAGCCUGCGGCAGAUUAGGUAGUUGGUGAGGUAAUGGCUCACCAAGCCUGCGAUCUGUAACCGGCCUGAGAGGGCGGUCGGUCACACUGACACUGACAUACGGGUCA